AUUGAACGCUGGCGGCAUGCUUUACACAUGCAAGUCGAACGGCAGCGCGGGCUUCGGCCUGGCGGCGAGUGGCGAACGGGUGAGUAAUACAUCGGAACGUGCCCAGUAGUGGGGGAUAGCUCGGCGAAAGCCGGAUUAAUACCGCAUACGACCUGAGGGUGAAAGCGGGGGAUCUUCGGACCUCGCGCUAUUGGAGCGGCCGAUGGCAGAUUAGCUAGUUGGUGGGGUAAAGGCCUACCAAGGCGACGAUCUGUAGCUGGUCUGAGAGGACGACCAGCCACACUGGGACUGAGACACGGCCCAGACUCCUACGGGAGGCAGCAGUGGGGAAUUUUGGACAAUGGGCGAAAGCCUGAUCCAGCAAUGCCGCGUGUGUGAUGAAGGCCUUCGAGUUGUAAAGCACUUUUGGCGGGAACGAAAAGGACUGUGCCAAUACCACGGUUCGAUGACGGUACCCGCAGAAUAAGCACCGGCUAACUACGUG
rnacentral:rRNA from 1 species